rnacentral:misc_RNA from 1 species
AAGUCGUAACAAGGUUUCCGUAGGUGAACCUGCGGAAGGAUCAUUACAGUUGGGGCCCCGCCCCGAUCAAGAUACCACCCCUUGCAUUUUGAGUACCUCUGUUUCCUCGGCGGGCCCGCCCGCCAAUGGGGACCACGAAGAAACCUCUUGCAGUUGCAGUAAACGUCUAAACAAACAAAAUCAAA